rnacentral:lncRNA from 1 species
CCUUGCUGAUCUGGGCUUGAGGAUGAUGUUGCAAACCACACACACGUUCGGUCUCUAGGAGUCAUCCACACGAGCCCACGAAUCUAGACCAGAAGUCCUGCUUCAGAAAAUCAGCACAGUAUGCUAGUACUGCGCUGAUCCUUCUUCGAUGGUUGAUCAGGUACCUUCUUCUUCUUGAUUUGGGUUCUUCUAAAGAUUACAAGUAGGAGGAAAAGUUUUAGAUCUGAGAUGCUCUCAGAAAAACUCA